AUUGAACGCUUGCGGCAGGCCUAAAACAUGCAAGUCGAGCUAGCGGCGGACGGGUGAGUAAUGUAUGGGGACUGCCCGAUAGAGUGGGAUAACUACUGGAAACGGUUGCUAAUACCGCAUACUAUCGGAUAACCCAUAUUGGAUUAGCUAGUUGGUGUGGUACAGGCUCACCUAGGCGACGAUCUCUAGCUGGUCUGCGAGGAUGAUCAGCCACACUGGGACCGAGACACGGCCCAGACUCCGACGGAGGCAGCAGUGGGGAAUAUUGCACAAUGGGCGCAAGCCUUACGCAGCCAUGCCGCGUGUAUGAAGAAGGCCUUAGGGUUGUAAAGUACUGUCAGCGGGGAGGCGUUACCCGCAGAAGAAGCACCGGCUAACUCCGUGCCAGCAGCCGCGGUAAUAC
rnacentral:rRNA from 1 species